rnacentral:rRNA from 1 species
CACCGGCGGCUCGAGUGGUGGCCACUUUUAUUGGGUCUAAAGCGUCCGUAGCCGGCUUGGCAAGUCCCCUGGGAAAUCUGGCGGCUUAACCGUCAGAAUUCCGGAGGAUACUCCCAGCCUAGGGAGCGGGAGAGGCCGAGGGUAUUCCCGGAGUAGGGGUGAAAUCCUAUAAUCCCGGGAGGACCACCUGUGGCGAAGGCGCUCGGCUGGAACGCGUCCGACGGUGAGGGACGAAGGCCAGGGGAGCAAACCGG